UGUAAAGAAAAGUCUUUCCCGUGCCUCCAGGUCCAUCGACAAAGAAUAUACCUCCUCUUUGGCGGUCAAUUGUGGCUAGGAUUUCAUCGUAGGCCUCCUUCUGCUCCUUGUUUAGGUUCUUAUGCAAAGAUGCAUCCUCGGGUUCCACCUCGAUGGAGGUCUCCUCGAUGAUCUCCCUCGGUAUGUCGUCUGUCAUCUCAUGCUGUUCGUCGAUCUCUGGAAGAGAAAACGAUUCUAUGUCUUUUCCCAUUGAGUGCAACAUGUCUUUGAUAUUUUUCAGAACCAUCUGUUCGACUGUGUGCUUGCAUUUGCAAUUUCUGCUGUAGUCCUCUGACAUUGCCUCAAGGUGCUUGUUCCAGAGGCUACGUACGUCGCUGGGUUCGCAAAAAACCAAGAUUGUCGCAAAUAGCCUUCGCAGCGAUGAUGGCAUUCUAAACAACUCCGCUUCUGUCAUGCAGUCGUCCAAUGUGCUAUCUGCCUCAAUGAGCCCUCUUUUUUCUGCAGCUUCACGAAAGGUUGGCAUUACUUGUCCAUCGACUGUUCGUAGGUCUUCGUAGCCGGUGGCGCCUGUCACGUGGUUUAGGAGGACCCGAAGAUAGUAUCGUUCUCCUUCGGCCGGGUGUGCUGCGACGAUCCUGCCAACCUGGAACACAGCGGCUCGCUUCCUUGGUUGCCAAAACUUCCCCUGACUCUGCCACUUAUAAUGUUCCGGAAAAUCUCUGUAUAGUAUGCCUCGUGCUUUCUCAUGUGAGCUGUUUGCUUCAAAGUACGCAAUUAACAUUGAUCUUUCCGUGCCUUCACGGUCGAUAACAUUCUGUAUUUUCUCCAUGGCAUGAUAUGAAACCAUGUGCAUAUUUGGGAGAUGCAGCUGCAGUUGCAAGACUGGUGGGUGCAUUUUGCUUAGUUCGAAGCCAUAUAUUCUCCACAGUGCUUCAGGAGGUGUCACCCACCGGGCGUCUCUGUACUGCUUAAUCGCGUCGAUUUCGACUUCCUCUACUUUGUCAGUUACAGAUACAGAUGCUCGGUCGUGGCCCUUGUAGAUGUACUUGAAGAGAUACUUAACGGCUUUAAUGCUUGAGCAUAUCUCAACAUUUAUGUGGCAGUUGAACAUUCUUAACAGAUAGGGAUUGUAAGGAACCACCCACCUGUUAUCUAAUGUGCAAUUUCGGACCAUUUCAGUCCGUCCGUCGUCGCGCCUCCUAUAUAUUGG
rnacentral:lncRNA from 1 species